rnacentral:misc_RNA from 1 species
GGAGUAAAAGUCGUAACAAGAUCUCCGUUGGUGAACCAGCGGAGGGAUCAUUACUGGAAUCGCAAGAUCCCACAACCCUGUGAACCUACCGAAACGUUGCCUCGGCGGGUGCCCGGCCUCUGCGCCGGGCGCUGCGCCCGCCGGCGGCCCCCUACUCUGUCUCUGCAGCGUGGCAUCUCAGAGUCCCAGAAAACAAGUCAAAACUUUCAACAACGGAUCUCUUGGCUCUA